rnacentral:rRNA from 1 species
UACGGGGGGAGCAAGCGUUGUUCGGAAUUACUGGGCGUAAAGGGCUCGUAGGUGGCCAACUAAGUCAGACGUGAAAUCCCUCGGCUUAACCGGGGAACUGCGUCUAAUACUGGAUGGCUUGAGAUUGGGAGAGGGAUGCGGAAUUCCAGGUGUAGCGGUGAAAUGCGUAGAUAUCUGGAGGAACACCGGUGGCGAAGGCGGCAUCCUGGACCAACACUGACACUGAGGAGCGAAAGCCAGGGGAGCAAACGGG